CGGCGACGACGCCGACGACGACGAAGCUGACGAAGUCGCCGUGUAUCCGGAGCGGAGCGGAGAGUCGCGUCGCGAGCCAGGUGCUGGAGCGACAAGGAGUGUACGCGAUAGACGGAGAGGGAGAGCGAGAGAGAGAUAGAGCCAGGCGCAAGGACGGAGGUGGCAGCGACGAGAGGAGCGGACAGGGACACGCGUUCAAGUGGGAGAGAGAAAGAGUGAGAGAGAGGGUACGGAGGCAGAAAGACGGAAGGAUAGAAUAGAGAAGGGAGGCAGAGGGGAAGAGAAAAAGAGAGAGAGAGAGAAAGAGAGCGCACUGAGAAUUGGAGAGGACGCGGUAUGUCGCUCCGCCGUGCAGGCCACGUCGCCUCGGAACGCAGACUGCCGACGCCUGGACAACUGCCGCCCACCCGGCGGCCGGCUCUCCCGAGAGAGAAAGACAGAAAGAGAAAAAGAGAGAGAGAGAGAGGGAUCCAAGAAACGGGCCUGUCCCCCUCUGCCUUCCUCGCCGCGCCGACGACCGUUCUCACCGCUCUCCCUCCAGGUUCCCCGAUCGCGAUCCUGCUCGCUUGCUCCUGCGGAAGACGAAGGAGCAGCAGCAGCAUUAGCAGCAGCGGCAGCGGCAGCGCGCGCGGUCCGCCGAUGGAAAGUGGGAGAGUGUGAGACGUAGACCGGAGAGAGGGAGAGGAGAACCAGGGUGGAGGGUAAGGGAGGAUCAGGAACGCACCUCCUCACACCGAUAUCUCUCUCUUUCCGUGCCGUGGAGGAUAGGCUACACGCCGAGGGAGCCAGUAAGGCAGGUCACGGACCGGCAGGGGUACCGGUACACGGGGUGUGAGUUUACGGAAGUGACGUUUCGCCGCUCAUACGUUCCCUCGCGUUCUUUCCCUCCGCGCCAGAUCGGAAUUAUCAUUAUUUUCUCACCCGAUUGUAAGAACAGAACGGUUUUCGAUUCCGAGUCUCAGAUCGCGAAAGGAAGAAAAAAUUGUGAAUUUUGCUACAGAUAUAACAAUUUAAUUUUUUGCUUACGUUCUGGUGUCAUUUUUCAUCAUUUCUGAUAACGUUAUCGCAAAGUUCGAUAUCGCGACAACGUGCAAAAAGACGCGCGAAAAAACGACACGCGUUUCGUUCGACGAUAUUCGUCGAGAAGAACGGCCGCGUAUUUGUAUCAUAACGGGCGUCAUCAUUGAGGCAUUCACGCCCGAUUAUUCGGCCUUUAACGAUGCUCUAGAGUUCAAUCCGGAGAAGCACUCGCGGUCAAGUGGAAGACCCACGUAGGGCCACCAUUACUAUUUAGAGCAUUGGCAAUCUUUCGUAUACCCCACCCAGCAUAACGUGUACCCAGACACUGUUCUAUAGACGAAUUGAGAGAAAGAGAGAGAGAGAGAGAGAGCUCCGGUCAAACCUUCCCGAUGGGGUCACGCGUUAUUUCUCGCAGCCACGUAACCCUCGGCGAUAUGCGUGUCUAGGGACGCUUAAAUUGAUCAGCUAUUCAUACUUUAAUCCAACGUGAGAUGGAUAGUUAUAAUCGCAACAUGAAAGAUAAAUUAUUACUAGGAAUUUAGGUAUUAAAACCUUCCAUUCGAAAUAAACUCGAAUAUCAGUGAGCUUUUAUCUUGAUUAAAUGUUAUUAAUUAGUGUAAUGUAUUCACCCAAAAUUCGUUAUAAAUUAGUAAAUUUUACUCUUGAAAGUUCACGGAAACACAAUCCAAUAUUGAAUUAAUAUUACAUUCAACUUUAACGUUCAAAUAAGCAAACGCGGUUGCCAAUAAGCUUAAGCAUCUUCAAGUCUUCGAUUUGUCGUCAACCAAUCGACCGACCACGAUCCACGAUUGAUUUUUUUUUUUAAUUUAAUUCGCCUUUUACGUACCUGGCAACAACUUUAACUGGCAUUCCUAACUGUACAAUGAUGGAGACCAAGAUUACUCAAAAUAUAUAUAAGUACGUCGCUUCUCGUAUAAAAUCAGUCUUACGUUAGACGCCGAUUUAAAUCCUCGUUGCUAAUACUAUUUAUCAAAGAUACAUUUUUUAACAUUUACAUAACUUAUUCGCGAGUGCUCAAAACACAUUUAAUUUAUUAAAAUAUAAAAUAUUGUGCCAAUAAUACUGUACAUUUAGAUAUCGCAAGAGUAUUCGAAAAAAAUGGGACAAAAGUUUAGAGAAAUUUCACAAGGUAAGCUUGUUUCCCUAAAAUGCGCGGAAGUCUUGGUUUUGCUAAUAUUUUGAAAUUCUCUUACAACCUUAAAUAUUUAGAUAAAUUUCUUAAAAAGAUUAUACGUUUUCGAAGUAAAUGCAUUCAUAUCGCGAAUGAGUUUAGAAGUGCGUUACGUGCAAAUUAAACCAUUGCAAAAUCAUGAUCGACGUGUGAUUAUUAGCAGAGUACAUUUGAGAGAGCAAAUUAUCAACAUUGCGUUAUAGCCAGCGAUGACACGUCGUUCUCGCACGUGUCUUAUCAUGUAUCAUAAAUAAAAAGCAAAUCUUGAAACUCAGAAUGUAGAUAAAUAAAAGAUAGUUAUACAAAACAACUAUAAUUAUAAAAAGAUAAUUGUAUUAUCGUUUUAUAUUCAAAAUUUUCUCGAUAAAAAUAAAAUUACAAAAUACUUUUUCUGAAAAGACUUAUCACGGAGACUAAAAGAGUUAAGAGUAUCAACGGUCACUAUACGAUAACAAUAUUAAGGUGUGGUAAAACGGUCGCGAUAUCGAUGAGACGGGUGCAACGUUCUCGCGAUGUUCCAAUAUCUCUUGCUGGUAAGGUAGAUUCGGUUCGUGUUAAUUGGUCAAUUGUAUUACAGAAAUUGUAAUAUAAAUUAAAUGCAACGUGCAAUUUAUAUGUACAUUGCGAUCUCUUUGUUUCCGAGUUAACGGAAGGAGAAUAAUCGUAAAAAUAGGAUCUCACGUCUAUAAGUCGAACUAACUCUGGCCUGACCUGUGACCUCUUCAUAACGGUAUUCAGAGCGAAAUUUUUUCGUUGGUUCGAUCCAACAUUAUAUUAUUGUAUUUAUCAUUGUUGCUAUGGUACAUUUAUCUCAUAUUAAAUUAAAAUUAAUCAAAGAUCAUUUUUUUAUUUGUCUAUCAAUAGAUUUUUAAUGAAAACUUCAAGUUUAGUAAAUUUUUCAAAUUUAACUUGAAUAUUUCAAAGCUAAAUUCAAGUUUCAUUCAACUCAAGUCAAUUAAAACUAUUUUAAGAAAGUUGACCAAUUUAAAUGCUAAUUCGAUAGAAAACGUUACCCGGAAAAACAUAUCGUAUGGUUUGUGAUUUCUCCUCGUUACAGUUGUUAUAUAAGAUUAAUUACAACGUACAUGUCAAUAAGCAAGUCAGGAUGAGCACCCCGGUUUCAUUUAGGUAUAUGGCGGUUGUAUAGUAUAUAUUUACAUAGCAACUGACACCACGAGAGAACAUGUGCAGACUCGAGCGAGCGGCAGUCUAGUAUCAUUUACAUCUCAAAAGUACACGGAGACGAAAAUACCCCCAAAGUAUUUGCCAUUAAUAACAUUUAAUAGCCUAUAAUUUAAUGAAAAAUUUUAAUAGUCCGAAAUUUUUAAAAAUGCUCUGUAUCCAAGGAUUAUAACACUAAAAUAAUAACGAUAAAUAUUUAGUGAAGUUGAAAACGUCUGAAAGAAACGCUCUCUUUCUCUCUCCCUGGGUAAUAUGUUAUUAUGCAAAAUUCCUUUAUGAUGCUAAAAGCUUUCAUACGAGGCAAUGAACCUAGUUCACAUCAACUCGCAACAUUUUUCCGCUUACGCCUACGCACACGGCUCGCAACACGGUCGCGAAAUAUUCUAACGGUGUGAUGCGAAUUAAGCGGUAGUUAGUACUAGGUAGACGGCGUCGACCGUACUUUUGGUCUUUGCUUUUGAUUAGAAGAGGAGAGAGGACGGAAAAAAUGUCGGAACAUUGCGGCCGGGGCGCGCGUCUUUAGAUCUCCCACGCGAAUUACGGAGUGAACGCGCGAAAAGCCGGCACCGCGACUCCAGCAGGCAAUCAUUGUCCACAGUUAAAUUUACAUUAAGCUCGGAGCGUUAUAAGCGCGCGCCGACAAACGAACGGUCACGAACGUCUCGCGCUCGAGUUUAGUCUGCACGCCCCGAUGGAGUCCCGUGCGUCUAAACAGCCAACGUUCUAACGUUUACGCGUUGACAUAUGGGUCCACAUGCGAUUUUAUGUGUAUUAUGAGGAUACCGGCGAGCAAUUCGCAAUCGUUCACGAUUCAUUCGAAGCCACAAUGCCUUUAGUGCCGCGAGACUCGGUUGGAACGGCCUAGCUCACGGGGAAAGUCGUCCAGCUGGCAAUAAUUAAAAGUGGAAGGCACAUCGCCGCCGAGCACCACCACGGACUCUAUAGGCAAGAGAGGCGAGCGAAGAGGCAGCUGAUGGCGUAUAGCCGGGCAUCGAACCGUGACCCGAGCACCUGUUGCCGCCUCCACGGUCGUAGCUCGACGUGAACUGACCUAACUUGUCCCUACUUCCUAUACAGUCCGCAGGAGAUAGAGCGAUUCGACCAGCCUAACCGGUAGACAAAAAAAAACGAUGCCGCUGUCAAUAGCUUGAGAAAUUAAUCCGUAAAAACUGGACGAACCUAGCUGCUAGACUUUACAUUAACAUUAUGGAACCCGUUUUACAGUUAUUAGAUAUUUGAAAAAUAUUUCGAUGAGAAUCUUUGUGGUGAAUCUUUCGAACCAAUUAUCGUCUUUCAUGAAAUGGAGAAUUAAAAUAUUUUUUUUUAAA